rnacentral:rRNA from 1 species
CGCAAGCCUGACGGAGCAACGCCGCGUGUGGGAAGAAGGCUCUUGGGCUGUCAACCACUUUUCUCAGGGAAGAAGCCCUGACGGUACCUGAGGAAUCAGCCUCGGCUAACUCCGUGCCAGCAGCCGCGGUAAUACGGAGGAGGCAAGCGCUAUCCGGAAUUAUUGGGCGUAAAGCGUCGCAGGGGCACAUCAAGUCUGCUGUUAAAGGCUGGAGCUUAACUCCGGUAGAGCAGUGGAAACUGGUGUGCUAGAGGGCGACAGGGGUAGAGGGAAUUCCCAGUGUAGCGGUGAAAUGCGUAGAGAUUGGGAAGAACACCGGUGGCGAAAGCGCUCUACUGGGUCGCACCUGACCCUCAGGGACGAAAGCUAAGGUAGCG